rnacentral:rRNA from 1 species
GACGAACGCUGGCGGCGUGCUUAACACAUGCAAGUCGAACGGAAAGGCCCUGCUUUUGUGGGGUGCUCGAGUGGCGAACGGGUGAGUAACACGUGAGUAACCUGCCCUUGACUUUGGGAUAACUUCAGGAAACUGGGGCUAAUACCGGAUAGGAGCUCCUGCUGCAUGGUGGGGGUUGGAAAGUUUCGGCGGUUGGGGAUGGACUCGCGGCUUAUCAGCUUGUUGGUGGGGUAGUGGCUUACAAGGCUUUGACGGGUAGCCGGCCUGAGAGGGUGACCGGCCACAUUGGGACUGAGAUACGGCCCAGACUCCUACGGGGGCAGCAGUGGGGAAUAUUGCACAAUGGGCGGAAGCCUGAUGCAGCAACGCCGCGUGCGGGAUGACGGCCUUCGGGUUGUAAACCGCUUUCGCCUGUGACGAAGCGUGAGUGACGGUAAUGGGUAAAGAAGCACCGGCUAACUACGUG